rnacentral:rRNA from 1 species
UACAGAGGUCUCAAGCGUUGUUCGGAUUCAUUGGGCGUAAAGGGUGCGUAGGUGGCGCCGUAAGUCAGGUGUGAAAUUUCGGAGCUUAACUCCGAAACUGCAUUUGAUACUGCGGUGCUUGAGGACUGGAGAGGAGACUGGAAUUCACGGUGUAGCAGUGAAAUGCGUAGAUAUCGUGAGGAAGACCAGUGGCGAAGGCGGGUCUCUGGACAGUUCCUGACACUGAGGCACGAAAGCUAGGGGAGCAAACAGG